AGCUACUGUAAGUGCUGUGGUGUUUUCAACUAAUUGAUCACAAUUCAUUACAGAUUUUUUGUUCUGCACUCCCACAGCUUCACUUUACUAGCUUGAA
rnacentral:Y_RNA from 1 species